CAGUCGCCGCGGGAAUACGAAGGGUGCAAGCGUUAAUCGGAAUUACUGGGCGUAAAGCGUGCGUAGGCGGUUUGUUAAGUCUGUUGUGAAAUCCCCGGGCUCAACCUGGGAAUGGCAAUGGAUACUGGCAAGCUAGAGUGUGUCAGAGGAUGGUGGAAUUCCCGGUGUAGCGGUGAAAUGCGUAGAGAUUGGGAGGAACAUCAGUGGCGAAGGCGGCCAUCUGGGACAACACUGACGCUGAGGCACGAAAGCGUGGGGAGCAAACAGGAUUAGAUACCCCCGUAGUCCCUGUCUCUUAUCC
rnacentral:rRNA from 1 species